CGGGACACGUGGUAUCCUGUCUGAAUAUGGGGGGACCAUCCUCCAAGGCUAAAUACUCCUGACUGACCGAUAGUGAACCAGUACCGUGAGGGAAAGGCGAAAAGAACCCCGGCGAGGGGAGUGAAAAAGAACCUGAAACCGUGUACGUACAAGCAGUGGGAGCACGCUUAGGCGUGUGACUGCGUACCUUUUGUAUAAUGGGUCAGCGACUUAUAUUCUGUAGCAAGGUUAACCGAAUAGGGGAGCCGAAGGGAAACCGAGUCUUAACUGGGCGUUAAGUUGCAGGGUAUAGACCCGAAACCCGGUGAUCUAGCCAUGGGCAGGUUGAAGGUUGGGUAACACUAACUGGAGGACCGAACCGACUAAUGUUGAAAAAUUAGCGGAUGACUUGUGGCUGGGGGUGAAAGGCCAAUCAAACCGGGAGAUAGCUGGUUCUCCCCGAAAGCUAUUUAGGUAGCGCCUCGUGAAUUCAUCUCCGGGGGUAGAGCACUGUUUCGGCAAGGGGGUCAUCCCGACUUACCAACCCGAUGCAAACUGCGAAUACCGGAGAAUGUUAUCACGGGAGACACACGGCGGGUGCUAACGUCCGUCGUGAAGAGGGAAACAACCCAGACCGCCAGCUAAGGUCCCAAAGUCAUGGUUAAGUGGGAAACGAUGUGGGAAGGCCCAGACAGCCAGGAUGUUGGCUUAGAAGCAGCCAUCAUUUAAAGAAAGCGUAAUAGCUCACUGGUCGAGUCGGCCUGCGCGGAAGAUGUAACGGGGCUAAACCAUGCACCGAAGCUGCGGCAGCGACGCUGA
rnacentral:rRNA from 1 species